rnacentral:rRNA from 1 species
CGUACACUCCUGCGGGAGGCAGCAGUGGGGAAUAUUGGACAAUGGGCGCAAGCCUGAUCCAGCCAUGCCGCGUGAGUGAUGAAGGCCCUAGGGUUGUAAAGCUCUUUCACCGGUGAGGAUAAUGACGGUAACCGGAGAAGAAGCCCCGGCUAACUUCGUGCCAGCAGCCGCGGUAAUACGAAGGGGGCUAGCGUUGUUCGGAUUUACUGGGCGUAAAGCGCACGUAGGCGGACUAUUAAGUCAGGGGUGAAAUCCCGGGGCUCAACCCCGGAACUGCCUUUGAUACUGGUAGUCUUGAGUUCGAGAGAGGUGAGUGGAAUUCCGAGUGUAGAGGUGAAAUUCGUAGAUAUUCGGAGGAACACCAGUGGCGAAGGCGGCUCACUGGCUCGAUACUGACGCUGAGGUGCGAAAGCGUGGGGAGCAAACAGGAUUAGAAACCCCUGUAGUCCCAUGA